rnacentral:tRNA from 4 species
GGAGAGAUGGCAGAGCGGUUGAAUGCACUGGUCUUGAAAACCAGCAGACGUUAAUAGCGUCUCCAGGGUUCGAAUCCCUGUCUCUCCGCCA